UACGUAGGGGGCAAGCGUUGUCCGGAAUCAUUGGGCGUAAAGAGCGCGUAGGCGGUCCGGUAAGUCCGCUGUGAAAGUCACGGGCUCAACCCUUGAAUGCCGGUGGAUACUGUCGGGCUAGAGUCCGGAAGAGGCGAGUGGAAUUCCUGGUGUAGCGGUGAAAUGCGCAGAUAUCAGGAGGACCACCAAUGGCGAAGGCAGCUCGCUGGGACGGUACUGACGCUGAGGCGCGAAAGCGUGGGGAGCAAACAGG
rnacentral:rRNA from 1 species